rnacentral:rRNA from 1 species
AUUUUUUCUGAACGAUUUACGUAAUCUAGCGGACUCUAUGAUUUUUAUAAAUGGCUGCAGUAACCUGACUGUACUAAGGUAGCAUAAUCAUUAGUUUUUUAAUUGGGGACUGGAAUGAAAGGUAAUAACCUUACAGGAGGUUUUAUUGAAAUGCCUUGAAUUUAAAUUAAAGAUAAAAAUGUUUUUAUAGGGCCUUGGGACGAGAAGACCCUAGAAGCUUAAAAUUUUUAAUUUUUGAUUGGGGCGAUUUAAAGAAGAAAAAAAUCUUUUUUUAUUAAGUGUAAGUAGAGAUGAAGUUACUCUAGGGAUAACAGCGAUAUUCAAUUUGGGAGUUCAUAUCUUGAGUUGAGUUUGCGACCUCGAUGUUGAAUUAAAUGUAGGUUGGGUGAAGGAGCUUAAUUAUGUAGUCUGUUCGACUUGUAGAAAU